AAAGGCCCUUCGGGGUACUCGAGUGGCGAACGGGUGAGUAACACGUGGGUGAUCUGCCCUGCACUCUGGGAUAAGCCUGGGAAACUGGGUCUAAUACCGGAUAGGACCACACACUUCAUGGUGAGUGGUGCAAAGCUUUUGCGGUGUGGGAUGAGCCCGCGGCCUAUCAGCUUGUUGGUGGGGUAAUGGCCCACCAAGGCGACGACGGGUAGCCGGCCUGAGAGGGUGACCGGCCACACUGGGACUGAGAUACGGCCCAGACUCCUACGGGAGGCAGCAGUGGGGAAUAUUGCACAAUGGGCGCAAGCCUGAUGCAGCGACGCCGCGUGAGGGAUGACGGCCUUCGGGUUGUAAACCUCUUUCAGUAGGGACGAAGCGAAAGUGACGGUACCUACAGAAGAAGGACCGGCCAACUACGUGCCAGCAGCCGCGGUAAUACGUAGGGUCCGAGCGUUGUCCGGAAUUACUGGGCGUAAAGAGCUCGUAGGUGGUUUGUCGCGUUGUUCGUGAAAACUCACAGCUUAACUGUGGGCGUGCGGGCGAUACGGGCAGACUAGAGUACUGCAGGGGAGACUGGAAUUCCUGGUGUAGCGGUGGAAUGCGCAGAUAUCAGGAGGAACACCGGUGGCGAAGGCGGGUCUCUGGGCAGUAACUGACGCUGAGGAGCGAAAGCGUGGGUAGCGAACAGGAUUAGAUACCC
rnacentral:rRNA from 1 species